UACGUAGGGGGCUAGCGUUGUCCGGAAUCAUUGGGCGUAAAGAGCGUGUAGGCGGUCCGGUAAGUCCGCUGUGAAAGUCGGGGGCUCAACCCUCGAAUGCCGGUGGAUACUGUCGGGCUAGAGUGCGGAAGAGGCGAGUGGAAUUCCUGGUGUAGCGGUGAAAUGCGCAGAUAUCAGGAGGAACACCGGUGGUGUAGACGGCUCUCUGGACCAUUACUGACGCUGAGACACGAAAGCGUGGGGAGCAAACAGG
rnacentral:rRNA from 1 species